rnacentral:rRNA from 1 species
UACGUAGGGUGCGAGCGUUGCCCGGAUUUAUUGGGCGUAAAGGGCGCGCAGGCGGCUACGCACGUCCGUUGUGAAAUCGCUCGGCUCAACUGGGCGGGGUCAGCGGAUACGGCGUAGCUGGAGCAAGCUAGGGGGCAAUGGAAUUCCCGGUGUAGUGGUGGAAUGCGUAGAUAGUCGGGAGGAACACCAGUGGCGAAGGCGGUUGCCUGGGACUUUGCUGACG